UACGUAGGUGGCAAGCGUUGUCCGGAUUUAUUGGGCGUAAAGCGAGUGCAGGCGGUUUAAUAAGUCUGAUGUGAAAGCCUUCGGCUCAACCGAAGAACUGCAUCAGAAACUGUUAAACUUGAGUGCAGAAGAGGAGAGUGGAACUCCAUGUGUAGCGGUGGAAUGCGUAGAUAUAUGGAAGAACACCAGUGGCGAAGGCGGCUCUCUGGUCUGCAACUGACGCUGAGGCUCGAAAGCAUGGGUAGCGAACAGG
rnacentral:rRNA from 1 species